rnacentral:rRNA from 1 species
UACGUAGGUGGCGAGCGUUGUCCGGAAUUACUGGGUGUAAAGGGAGCGCAGGCGGGACUGCAAGUCAGUGGUGAAAUGCAUGGGCUUAACCCAUGAAUUGCCAUUGAAACUGUGGUUCUUGAGUGGAUCAGAGGCAAGCGGAAUUCCGAGUGUAGCGGUGAAAUGCGUAGAUAUUCGGAGGAACACCAGUGGCGAAGGCGGCUUGCUGGGGUCUAACUGACGCUGAGGCUCGAAAGUGUGGGGAGCAAACAGGAUUA